ACAAAUAUUUUUCGAAUAUACAGUUUUUUAUUGAAAAAACUGUAUAUUUAAUGUACAAUUUUUCUAUUGUUUUUUUUUUAAAUUGACAUUGUCUAUUAUUCAACUGUCCAAUCUUUCAUUCACUUGAAGGUGACCCUGAUUUGACCCCACAGGAUUCUGCACAGGUGGAAGGAGGACUGGAGGCUCACACCUGUUCACCAUCUUCUCCUAAUUUUUGAGUUUGAACCAAAAAAAGGGGGUAGUGAAGAACCACACGAUGCACGAAGGAAUAAAAGGUGUAAAGAUGAGCAGCUGCAGUGAAAACAAUCAUCUUCUUGUUCUCUACAUCCAUCCAGAAAUAUAUAUUCUCUGAAAACAAAAAAAUCAUUUGGUCCUUACUAUCACUCGACUUCAACCUAUGAAGCUGAAGUUUUGACCUCAAAACGAAAGUUUUAAAGUGCUUCAAUAAAUUCAAUUUGAGCUUUUUUCUUGUAAAAACUUUUGCGGCAUGGAAGUCUGAGAAAGACUUGUGGGGAAACCUUUCCGUCAAUCUGCAACAGACUUUUUAAUUGAAAGUGCAAAUUGCCGAAGUGACAUCUAGACCAAAAACAGCCCUCCAGCGGUGGAGCACAUUGGCGGAGGUUUAAUGAUCUGGGCUCAUUCUAGGGCCACCUGGACAUCCUGAAGCCAAUUGGUUGAGGAUUUUUUAUUUUUAGGGAUAAAUUUGAUGAAACGGAUCGUCAGUUGGCGAAACUGUUGAAACUCUCUUGCGAAAACGCAAAUUUCUAAUCAGUCAGUCGCGCAGAAGCAGCUCAAGACAUGAGGAAUAUUCUACACUGAGCAACAUGUCAAACUUCAGCUAAACCACGACUUGAUAUAUAUUAUUUUUUCCUGAUGCCAGGUGUUGGAGAACGCCAGAUGUGUUGGAAUCAAAAGCCCAUCUGUUACAUCCCAGAUAUCAAAGGAUGUUUUCCUAAAAAAGAGGGAAGGAUGGCCUUUCGUCAAACCCUUUGAUCUUACCUUGUCUUAACAGUUUGACCCCCUCCUCCUCCUCCUUUAGGACCUUUGAUCCGGAUCACCUGGCAGAUUUAAAUCUGCUAAAUGCUUUUUAAAUCUGACAAAGACUCAUUCUUAACCAGCUCUAGAACACAGUAGUGUUACAACCAAGGUCACAUGACCUGAUCUGAUGAAUCUGAAUCGGUGCUGCAUUCACACAGUGGGGACAGAAUUCCGAGUGAAAACAUUUUCAAACUCACACACACAUUAUGGAUGUUAUCAAGCUGCUGUGUCGCUGGCUGACUAAAGAUCUGCUCCUAUAGGCAGUAAGAAAAAAGCAGAACGUGUUUGGCCUUUUUACCUAUUUACAGGUACCAGAUUUUAUUUUGAAAAUCGCCCCCCCUUGUCAAAACGUGAUGUCAGGAGAGGCGCUAUCUUUUGCCGCGCCGCUUCCAUGUGUGGUGUUUCUGUACGUUCAAAUGCAAAGAUGUGUCAUUGCCGGAUAUUUGCAGGAUUUUUUUUUUAAGCUUCUGGUUUUGUUUGCCAAGAAGUUCUCGUGUUCCAAAGUUACUUGGGAACUCAACCCCGCCCCCCGCUAAAACCACACGUUAAGCUCAAAGCCAACCCCACGCAAUACAAUCUUGCCAUUCGCCUUUGGCCUGGCACUGAGCGUUCUGAUGUCAAAAGCUUCACACUGUGAUUUCAGGGCAACCCCCCCCCCCCCACCCAUGUCGCUGCUCUGGCUAGCCCUGCUGCAGCUCAGUGAAUGUGACAGAGUGAUAGCUGGCCAGCAGGGGGAGCUACUGCUGCUUAAGAGAUGAACUGAGCAACUAGUGGUCUGUUGAUGUUUUUUCCCCUUAAAGUUCAUAUAGAAGGAAGGUUGCAGCACACUACGAAGGAAAUGUAAGCCAGGAAGAAUCGAAUGUUUACGAGACACUAGGACUUUUUUUCUUUUUCUUUUUUUUAGAAUAUUUUGUGUGUGAAUAUUUGUACACAGUAGAUGAAUUAAUAAAAAAGAAACAUCUGAGAUA